rnacentral:misc_RNA from 1 species
GUGUUUCACAAUUUUCUGGAUUACAUUUGAGUGCUCUGUUGUUGACGUGGCAUGCAUCGAUACGUCAAAAAUGAAUACCAAAACAAUGCGUCUGCCUCCUCGUCGCGUCUUGACAUCAAAUAAGCGCAAGGAUAGGGAGGGUUUUGAUUCUGUGAAGCCAUUUCCACCACAACCAACAGCAGCAAAAUUGGCCAAGCCGAGCAUACCUCAAGUCGGCUCGGGAAAACCAUCCGAUCCGGUUUCGUCUAAUCAUCUCUUGGCCGGGUAUUUGGCGCACGAAUAUCUCACGAAGGGUACACUCUUUGGUCAAGCGUGGGACCCUGCUCGAGCUGAAACGGUAGCAGUGGAGUCGAAUAAGAUUAAGCCGAGCCAGAAAGGCAAAGAAGAAGAAGAAGAAGAGGCAGAAGAAGCCGAGCCGAAUAAGGAAAAUUAUCAAAGGUACGUGGAGGUAUCGAGUUUGUUGAAAGCCGAAGGGGCCCACUUACCGGGCGUUGUCAACCCAAGCCAGCUCGCUCGCUUCUUGCAGGUGCGAAUGUGCUAGGGCCUUGUCGAUACGUGGAGAAAAAUCAAAGUCAAAAUCCCUAACUAUUUUUUUCCUUCCCAUUUCUACAACACACACU